CCUUUUAUGGAGAGUUUGAUCCUGGCUCAGGACGAACGCUGGCGGCGUGCCUAAUACAUGCAAGUCGAGCGGACCUUCGAGGGAGCUUGCUUCCGAGAAGGUUAGCGGCGGACGGGUGAGUAACACGUAGGCAACCUGCCCUUUAGACCGGGAUAACAUUCGGAAACGGAUGCUAAGACCGGAUAAGCAGUCUCAUCGCAUGAGGGGGCUGGGAAAGACGGAGCAAUCUGUCACUAAAGGAUGGGCCUGCGGCGCAUUAGCUAGUUGGUGAGGUAACGGCUCACCAAGGCGACGAUGCGUAGCCGACCUGAGAGGGUGAACGGCCACACU
rnacentral:rRNA from 1 species